CUUAGAGUUUGAUCAUGGCUCAGAUUGAACGCUGGCGGUAUGCUUAACACAUGCAAGUCGAACGGCAGCAUAAUCUUCGGAUUGAUGGCGAGUGGCGGACGGGUGAGUAAUAUAUAGGAAUCUGCCUUGUAGUGGGGGAUAACUAUCCGAAAGGAUAGCUAAUACCGCAUAAUGAUUACGGUUUAAAGCAGGGGAUCUUCGGACCUUGCGCUACAAGUUGAGCCUAUACAAGAUUAGCUAGUUGGUGAGGUAAAGGCUCACCAAGGCGACGAUCUUUAGCUGGUCUGAGAGGAUGAUCAGCCACACUGGGACUGAGACACGGCCCAGACUCUUACGGGAGGCAGCAGUGGGGAAUAUUGGACAAUGGGCGCAAGCCUGAUCCAGCAAUACCGCGUGUGUGAAGAAGGCCUUCGGGUUGUAAAGCACUUUUGUUAGGGAGGAUGGUGAUUUUGGCGAAUACCCAAAGUCAUUGACGUUACCUAAAGAAUCAGCACCGGCUAACUCCGUGCCAGCAGCCGCGGUAAUACGGAGGGUGCAAGCGUUA
rnacentral:rRNA from 1 species